GACUUACAUUGUUGUGUUAGUGUCAAGUGUACAGCCAAGUGAAUCAGUUGUACAUAUACAUAUAUCCAUUGUAUUUUUUCUAUAUAGGUUUUGUCCAUUAUUUAUUUCCUAUAACACAGAGUAGAUUUCCCUGUGUUAUACAGUAUGCCCUUGUUAUCUAUUUUAUAUACAAUAGUGAGUAUUUGUUAUUCCCAUCCUCCUAAUUUAUCCUUCCUUAAGUUAUAAACCCAAGGUUUACUUAAUUUAAUGACAAUAGGGAACAAAAGAGAUGGAUUUUUCAAAUAAUUACCUUUGGUCAUCAUCUUUUUUUUUUUUUUUUUUCCUCAUCUUUUUAAGGCCACGCUCAAGGCAUAUAGAGUUUCCCAGGCUAGGGGUCGAAUUGGAACUGUAGCCACAGCCACGGCAAUGUCAGAUCUAAGUUGCAUCUGUGACCUACAUACACCACAGCUCAUGGCAACACCAGAUCCUUAACCCACCGAGCAAGGCGAGGGAUCAAACCUGUGUCCUCAUGGAUACUAGUCAGAUUCGUUUCCACUGAGCCAGGAUGGGAACUUCUGGUCAUAAUUUUUUUUAAGUUAAAUAAAGGUGGCUGGAAUUGUUGAUAUGAAUGCUCUUUUUAAGCACUGAAAUUCUAUAAUUGUACUAUAUGAACUGAAAAUUAGGAAAAAAAAUCUAAAUGAAUAAUUUCAAUAGAUAUCAAUACUACAUUUUUAAACAAUUUCAGAUUUUGCAAUGAUAAGAACCCACUAAUAUGAAUCCCAUGUCAUGAUUUUUAAUCACCGUUCCAGCAUUUACUACCCACAUUAGAUGAUUCCAUUGGCAAGUAACAGGAAUUCUGGUGAUGAAAUAAGGAUGCCUAUUAUUUCACAGUCCAGAGAAAGCAAACAGGCCAAGAAGAAAGAAGUCAAUUGCUUUCAGUGGUAUCAUAAGGUUGGAACACAGCAUUGAAGUUCAGAGUUUCAAAGGUAAGCAAAAGCUAAGGGGUCUAGGUUCUGAAGAAAAGAGAACAAGGGUAUAGCUCAAUAUUUUGUACCACUAACCUUCUCAAGGCAUUUUCAUAUUCUUUAUUUCCAUGAACUAAGAGGCCAGGAAGGCACAUAGAAAUCUGAAGCUGAAUCAUAAAUACUAAGGGGAAUCUUUGGUUGUCUUAAUGGUAUUUGGGUUUUAAAAGGUGGCAUAAAGGGCAUGCCUAGUAUGAAUAGCUGUAGUACAUAUAUGAGGUUUGCAGCUGAUUCCCUAGAGAACUAUGUAUUACCAAUAAAAACAAACCAUAAAUAGGCCAGUCACUAUGAACUCUGACUGCCGGUACACCUAUUAUAAUUGCCAGAUGAAAAUGAAAUCCUUUCUGGGGGAAAGAUAAAACUACAUCUCUAAAAUGAUUCAUAUACAGAGAAUACCAUUCCAUAUAAAGUUACCAGACACAUCUAAAUACAGUACUAAUGUAAAACCAACAUAAAAAAAAAUUCAACAAAAAUAGACCUACAUAUGGUCAAUACUGUGGUUUUAUGAAAAACGCUGAAAUAAAUGCAACUAACUGUCCCUAACAAGAUGAAACUUUCAUAGGAG
rnacentral:lncRNA from 9 species